GGCUUGUUGGUGUAGUUGGUUAGUACCCUCAUUUCCAUCAGCCACAAGAGGUCGCCAGAUCGAGCCUGGCACAAGUCA